UCAAUGGCAUCAGUGAUCCGAGCAAGGCGAAGACAUAGGCCAAUUUUUUUUUUUCAAGGUUGGGGAUGUUCUUCAUGUUCGUAUGCUUCAUGUUUUGGUUACCUGCAAUGUUUUGGGGGCUAUCUCGUUGUUUAUGACCAUUGACAUAUGCACUUUUGUAAGGCUUCUCUCUUGGAAGUGGCUUUGGAUAAAAGUGUCUGCUAAAUGAUUACAUGUAAAUGUAAAUGAUCUGCCCUGUUAUAUGUUCAGGUUUGCUGUUACUUCAUGCACGUCGCUAAAUUUAAGCUUGCGCUUUCUUUUUCCCGUAGGAAUAUCCAUGACAGAUACAUGCGGGCCCAGUGUUUCCUCUUUUAGAGGCGCGCUAAUUAUGCUAAUGGAGUAUGCACCCCAAAUACUGAAGUUCCUGUCUCUGCCCACAACACAAGUCUUUCCAGUCAACAAAACCUUCCCUGGGAGUGGAAGAGUUUCAUUCCCUUUGGAUGAGCAUCUGCGCUUGUGCGUGUGCGCACUUCAGGCGUUUCUUUGUAUAGCACAAUUUUGUGCGUGUGCACCAGUUUGUGUGUGUGUGUGUCAUUGUGUGCCUGUGUGGGUGUUAGAGCUGGAGAGUGAGAUGCAGAAAAAAUAUACAAGGGGAGAAUUCAAUGCAUUCACCUUUUCUGGUGGUCACUCACACGGUUCCUAAGCACAUUAAUCUGGAACACGAGAGGAGAUUUAGAACCACAUGGACUACAGUAUGUAUUUUAUUACAUCUUACAGUACUUAACUAAAUAAUUUAUUGCAAGACACUAAAUAAUUUAUUGCAAGACACUAUGCUAUAUCUACCAUUACAAUGAAAAUACUAUCUAAAGAUAAAACACAGUACUUCUUAUGCAUUUUGGCACUAUAAUCAUCAUGUCUUUACAGAUUCAGUAUUGAGUUAACUCUGAGUUAAACCCUUAUUAUGUUUACAUUGUAUUAUGUGCUCACCUCAUAUUUCUGCCGAGUGAACUGGUACUGGAGCUCAAACUUCUCAGCUUCCAACUGGUGCAUCCAAUCCCACAGCUCUUUAGCUUUAUCCCUGUGCUCACACACACACGCACACACACACAUUCUUUGGUUCCAUAACCAUUCUAGGGUACCUUGUGUUUAUGGGGUCCUGUGCAUUCUAACUUUCUAGAAAGCUGGGACUUAACGGUUGGGCUCAAUUCACCUGAGCUUGUCCUGGCCGGCAUUCUCCACAUCCAGUGAUUUGCGCCUGUCGUUCAGGAUUUUCUUCUUCUUCUCUCUCUCAGUCUGUCUCUUGCCCACGCGUUUCUCUGUCUGAAAGAUUAAGUGAACAAUGUAUUCAUAUCCAACUACCUACCCCUGUCCCCCCACAUCACCCUCCUCUUUGGACAGCCAUUCUCUCCAUUAUACUGCAUCCCUGACCUCUUCCACAAUCCCUUCUCAGCACCAACCUCCACCUAUUCCUCUCCCCCUUCACCCUACCAUUUUUCCCCUCUCCCCCUCCUGCUCCCAUCUCAUCCUGCACCCUUCUUAUCUAACACCCUCCCACCCCCCUUCCCCCUCCUUUCCAUCCUUCACCUUCUCUUCUCCCCCUCCAUCCCUCCCACUUUCCUCUCUCCAUCCAUCCCUUCCCUCCCACUUCCCUCUCCCCUUCCAUUCCUCACACUCAGGCUCUGACCUUCUGCAUGUAGCCUCCAAAGUGCAGGCUGGUCAGUGUCUUCUUCUUCUUGGCGUCAUCCUCAGCUUUCCUUCUGGACUCCUCUUCCUCCUUCCUUGUCCUCUCAUCCUGGGGGGGUUAGGGCUAGGGUUAGCUUUCAUUGUUCUAUGUGUGUGUCAGUGAAAGGAUGUUGUUCUCAUAUUAGACCAAAGGAGAUUGUUUCUUGCCUCGAGACGCUUCUGUCGUUCUUUCUCACGUUCACUGCGGAUCCUGUGCUGCUCGGCUCGCUCAGAGCGACGCUUGUCCUGCAGGACAAAUCAGGAAGUGGGAUUAGUCAGAUAUUCAAGUUUUUCUAUAGAUUUAUUACUGGUAUCGAUCAUCUUUGAUCUUUCAGAGUUUUUGUUAGGGCCAUGGGAAAGCAGUAGCAGCAUUUUUGUGACAGGGGCGCAGGCCACUGUGAUGGCAUUUUUUGAUAUAGUUACUAAGAAUGUAUUUUUAAUAGACUGAGGUUGUGUUUAAACAAAUGGAUGUUGCAGUUGGUCUUAAGGUAUUUAUGGUGUUGGGUUAUGAUGCCUGAUUGAGAAGCUAGGGGCACGGAGGUUGGGGGAUGUUUGAGUUCUGUGGCCUAAAGGGAGAUGGGUCAGUUGAUCUAGCAGCCCUGACCUUUUGGCCGAGGAGAUUGUGUCCUGUGUCCUGUUUGUGUUUCAUUAAGGGUAUCUUUACUGUCCUCAUUUAGAGAAAGAGUCGUGACAUCAAAAGACUUUGGUCACUUGACCUGGGGGGUUAUAUUGUCUUAACUGUCACUGAGCAGUGCUGACCAAUCACAGAGUUCAGAAAAACCAUUUGAUCUAAAGUUUAUAUAAGGCAGGGUUUUAGGGUUGUUCUGGAUCACUCUGGCGAACGACCUGUGGCUAGCACCUCCUUCGUUAUGACUGAUCACAAAGUACUUUGUUAAAUCAUGAUCUGUAUAAGCAAAAUAAAUUUAUUGUAACCGCCAUCUCUUGACUAUUCAAAUCUACACAGUGCCGCUUGAAUUUCUACCAUUACAGCCACUCACAAUCCUGUCCUUCAGGUUGACAAGCUCCUCCUCUUCCUUCUUCCUGCUCUCAAAGUGGACCUCAAUCAGAGUCUGCAGUUCAUUCAGGUCCUUCUCCAUUCUCUUUCGAUGGAUGUCCUUGACAGGGAGGGAUGAAAAGGGGUAGAAAAUUGAGAAAUAAAGACAAUUUGAAUAUGCCAUGUGUAUAUUAAUGUACAUCUUAAGGAUGCAUAUCAUAAAUCAUUUGUACUUCUCUUUGAUUAACAUGAUUCUAUAUACAUGAAAAAUAGGUCUACAAAUGAGCAUCAUAACUUGUCUGCAUGCUACGGUUUACAGUGGGAUGCCCAAAGGCAAGGCAGCUUCAGACAUCACAGUCACACACAACCCGUUCUUUUUUGUGAUCAAUUAUUUAUUGUUUGUAUGACAAAUGCUGACAAGGCAAACAUGGCAAAGUGUGAUACAACUAUUUUCUAUGUAUUUUUUUCUUCGUAAACAUUUCUAACAGAAUCUAAAAAGGGAUUUUAAGGAGGUUUUUAGGAAAUAUUGCCAGGUCAACAUACUGUAGGAACCCUUUGUGAACCUUCUUGAACCUUCCAACAAAUCUACUGUAGGGUUUAAUUGUAUACAGUGCUUAAUCCCCAGUGGCAACUCUUGUACUCACAUCAAAAUCUACUUUCUCUCCAUCUGGGAUCUUGGGAGGGAUGAGGUUCGGCAUCAUAAAAGGCCUUGAAGGAGGGAAGGAAAAAAGGUGAACCGUGAGAUAAAAAGUUUGUCCAGGCUAUCAAGUGAGCGACCCUCCACCUCCCCGUCGCCACCCGGUUCUUGUCUCUGUCUUCGACUCGUUGGUCGUCGGCUGCCGCCACCACCACCAGUGUCUGGACUCCGUGGGGGAUUCUUCUCGGAUCUUGGGCAGGCGCCCUGUGAUCUAUUGUUCCCCAUGGGGUCUAAGCUCCAAACAUUGUAGUACGAUUAUCAUUCGGUAAUAAACAUCACUUUACUCAUACCAGGUCUCUCCUGAUUGAAAUAGCUAGUUUCUGGUGUAGAUGGCUUUUUAGAAUUUUUUGGUUAAGACAUCGCAGAUCUUCUUGUGCACUGUCUUUUAACGCAUGUGAAAUGUUGAGAUUUACGUUUUGUCCAUUUAGCAGAUGCUUUUCAUUCAAAGCAGCAUGUGUAAAUUGAAAUUACAUCACAAAAUCUACAUUUUGUGGGUGCAGUCAGUUACGUGACAGCAGGAUGUCAAUGGUCUCAAAUACAACAUUCAGAAAAAGCCACCAGAAGUAUUGUACUGCUAAGUGCAGCUCUGGGUGUCCUUAGGCCAACUGAAAGGUAGUUAGUCCAUGCAGAUCUUGAUGUGUCUUGAGGUGUCUCUUCCAACCUCAUCAGAAGGACUGGGAUUUAUCUAGAUCAUUCCAUCACUGUGGAGCACAUACAAAGAAGCACAGUAUGGUAGAUGUGCGACCCUUCUUUAGCACUGCAAAGCGAACAAGUUGGGGUGCACGGCUGGAUGAUGCCCUGGAUGAUGCCCAUUUUCUGGUGGGCAAAGAGAAAAUUGUUGUGGGAAUACAGCAUACACCUGUGAAACACCUAGGCAGACAUUUUAGAACCGAAGAUGCACCAGGUUAGCUUCUGAGGCACCGGGAUACCGUCUAACGCUAUUGUCUAACAAAAUGAAAUGAAAAUAAUUUGAUAUCUUGCUUACAUAAUUGAUCCGGUAGUCAGUGAGACGGGCUCCAUCAUGUGGGUGGAAUAAUUGCAUAAUUUAGUAAUCUGGCUGGUCUAUUUAACCAAUCAGGAGCCUGGCGGUACACAUAGGGCUUGAGAUAAAAGAAGUGAGAAGCUAUGCAGAGAUUAGACAACCUAACUUCACGAGACUGAGAGGAAAGUUCACCAACGCGGAUUUAAAAACAUAAAAAACUCAUAUGUACUGUACGCACAAUACAUUUCCUAUGCUGUAAAACUUCUAUCCACGUGAAACUUAUAUUAUCAAUAAUGCAAAACCAUCAAUAAUUGUGUAUCAUGUCUUAACUGAAUAGAAAAAAACUGAUUAGAUAUAUCUAAAUAAUCUGCCUGAAUAAUGAAUACACUUCAAAUUAAACAAAAAGGACGUAUUAAUCAUUGUCAUGUCCCAUAGGUACUAUUUCUGACGCAUCCAUGGGAGAAGACGGAGAUAUACAUUUCAAUAUUGUUUUAAAUUUGUUUUAUGUAAACUAUGCUAUGCACAAUCCAUGACAUCCAAAGAUAGCCAACUGCUCACAUCUCAUUGACCACAAUGGGAUUUUAAUAAAGAUUGUUUGCCAUGGGCAUUCACUUAACCCUUGUGUUAUCUUCGGGUCAUUCUGACCCAACAGUCAUUGUGACCCACCGUCGUAUUGCGACAACUUUACCGCAUACAAGAACAAAGUGAAGCAUUUUCUUUUAACCGUUGGGCUGUCUCAGACCCCCCACAUUGCGAAGGUUAAAAGAAAAUUAUUUUAAUUUGUUUUUGUAUUGGGUAAAAUUGGGUAAACACAAAGAUGGUUCGUUAUGAACCUUUGGGUCAUGUGACCCGAAGGCAGCACAAGGGUUAAUAAGUAAUAAAAUUUUGGCUAAACAUCUCUAUUUUCCUGUUCUGUGGGUGCAAUACCCUGGCCGUUUGCCACUGCCUCAUCUCGCUCUCCAUCACUUGCCUACAGCCCUGCAGUCUUCAUUGUAAUGUCUGAGUGGCACUGAGUGUCAUUCAUUACGCAUGGCAAUAUUGUGCAGAACACAACAUUCCACAAAGGAAGCACUGGAUUUUUGAUAGCUGCAUUGUAGUGUGCCCCCUCCCCAAUAUUCUUUCUAUUGCUCACAACGUUGACAGCAUUGAAUCAAUGUGAAUUGUCUCUGAGAGGAAAGGACUGUGUACAGUAUGCUGUGAUGAACUAGGUCAGGGGUCGGCAACCCAAAAUGUUGAAAGAGCCAUAUUGGACCAAAAAAACAAAAAACAAAUCUGUCUGGAGCCGCAAAAAAUUAAAAGCCUUAUAUAUGCCUUAUAAUGAAGGCAACACAUGCUGUAAGUGUCUAUAGACCAAUUAUUUGUUUGUAAACAUUCGGGAUGCGCGCGCAAUGUGCCUGCAGAAAACCGGGAAAGGAUAGCCUUUAUAAUGGUUAGAGAAGUACACGUAUUAUACCAAUAGUACGAUUUAAAAAGACCAAAAAGGUCGAGAAGGACAGCCUUUAAGAGAAAAGUCGAUUCCCCAUUGAUCUGUUACAUCAGAAUUUUGAUUUGGGUUACGAAAGUCUUGAAAUUUGAGUGAGAAUGUCGCCCGGUAGACCGCAUCUUAUGCGGCAGCUAUGUCUUCACGUCACAAAGUUCAUAAUUUUACAGUUUUACAGUCAAUUAUACACCUUAAAAGUCAAGCAGGGCAGCUUUAAAGAGAUAUGGGAAUUCUGCUUUUAGCCAGCUGGUCCGAUUAUUUUUGUGAUUUGUGUAAAACUGGCAAUCUGAGUGAGACUGCGUCCCCGUUACACUGUUUUGACGUUGUUAGCCUCAGUCAGACUCGGGUCGCUCACUGGCAGUGUGCACAAUGUUGUAUUUCACUCCAUUCUCCACUAUAAACGUCAGGGAGGACUGCCUUUUGUAGAUACAAGCCUGCUGAAGAUAGCCAGCAUCUCGGAUUUCUUUAUCCGAGCCUGUUUCAUUCAUCAUUUGCCUGAGAAAGCGACCUUCGUUAGCCAGGCUAGUUUUGCCCGAGCCAGCCUAGUUUUGCCAGUUCACUCCAUUCUACAGUAAAAACGUCAGGGAGGACUACCUUUUGUAGAUACGAGCCUGCUGAAGAUAGCCAACAUAUCGGAUUUCUUUAACCGAGCCUGUUUCAUUCGUCAUUUGCCUGAGAAAGUGACCUCCGUUAGCCAGGCUAGUUUUGCCCUAUCACUCGGUCAGGAUAUUUAAGGUAUCGGGGGUCAAGUGACUUUUGUGCAUGGACAAAUGAAACGUAAAUGUAUUUGUUCAAAGGACAAGUGCCUCAAAAAGUUAAUGUCAAGCUCUGAAAUCCAGUGGCCAGAGAUAUAUGAUGACCUGAUCCAAGUGUAUACCUGGGAGAAGUCUGUCCUUUGCAGCCGACAUGCGCAGUUGAGCAUUCUUGACAGUGGUGUGACGUAGGGUGAUAAUUGGUCUAUAUUAGCUAUAUUACUAUCAAAAUGAUAAGUAGGCUACAAAUACAUAAUGAGCAUUCAUGCAAUCGCACUUUUUCUCUCACUCCCAACUGGGUACUCGGCUGCAAAUGUAGCAUGCCUUCCCUGGAAAUGUCUGUUACUCUUUUUGUUAUUUGACAACUCCUCAUUACAAAGCAAACAUGCAGGCAAUCCUUCCGCAUUGGCAAUGAAAGCAAAUGAUUCGGUCCAAAAACUGUUGAAUCCUCUGUUCUCCUCAGCUAUCUUUCUCCUUUUCCCUUUGGGAUCCAUGGCCCAUGACACACCCGCCAGUUUGUUUGCAACAGCCACCUGUCUGGCAUUACGCCAAGCUGAAAGAAACGUGUGUCGCAGGCUAUGACGUAAAUCUUCGCUGACAGAAAUGUUGAAAUAAAAUAUUUAUUAUACACAUACACAUUUUGCUGUAAAAAUGUGUAUAAUAAAUAUUUUUCAACAUUUCUGUUUUAAUAAUUAAAACAAAAAAUAUGUUCACACCAUCUUUUUCCAUUUUCAUAUUUUUGAAAAAGCUCCAGGGAGACACUAGGGCGGCGCUAAAGAGCCGCAUGCGGCUCUAGAGCCGCGGGUUGCCGACCCCUGAACUACGUUAUUAAUGGAUAUUCCCUGUCUCACAUUAGUGACCCGUCCAGAGCUUUGCUCUGGAAGACAUUAAGUACCGAAUUAUUUUUAAAAUAAAGAAUCCUAAAAUGAGGUUAAUAGCAUACAGUAGGCAUGAGUGCACAUUUACACAGUGGAACUGUCAUGCCAAAAAUG